rnacentral:rRNA from 1 species
CGUAAGCAACCUGCCUAUCAGAGGGGAACAACAGUUAGAAAUGACUGCUAAUACCGCAUAUGCCUUGAGUAUUGCAUGAUACAAAAGGGAAAGGAGCAAUCCGCUGAUAGAUGGGCUUGCGUCUGAUUAGCUAGUUGGUGGGGUAAAGGCCUACCAAGGCGACGAUCAGUAGCCGGACUGAGAGGUUGAACGGCCACAUUGGGACUGAGAUACGGCCCAGACUCCUACGGAAGGCAGCAG